AGACAAAUCCUUCAGCUGUCAGCCCUGAACAAGACCUCACUAACACUGGAGAUCUGCCAGCAGAAGAAACAGGGGAUAUGGCAAAUGCUGAACUUUCCCCUCCAUCAGCACUUGGAGAUGGAACUGGAACAGGAACAGGAGGAGCCCCAGCACUGGGAGAAGUGUCCUCACCUGGUUCUGCACCUCACAGCAGUGCUGGAGUGCAGCCUGAUCUCUCAGGGCCUGAAGGACCAGGGGACCUGCCCAGUGAAUCAGCCAGUGCUCCUGGGGCUGUUUCCCCACCCCUGGGCUCAGUGGCUGGCCCCAUGUCUGAGGCAGAGACACCAGUGAGCCCUGACCUCAGUGCUGCCCAGGGAGCACCUGGAUCUCCAUCCUUUGGUGGGUCACAGCCAUGGGGAGCAGCAGCUGGUGCUCCCGUGGGAGCAGGACUCCCUGGGGCCGAAGGGCCAGACACUGACUCGACUUUGGCAUGGGAUACCCCCAGCUCAGCAGUUCAUGAACCAGUAGGUCCCCCAUCACCUGGCCUUGGGGACCAGCUUGGCACAAAUGUGGGGCUGCCAGCAGCAGCUGGACAAGGAGGCAGCACAGCAGAGCCAGCACUGGAAGGAGCAGGCAGUGGGAUUGAGUCUGAGCCAUCCCUGAGCUCCCCUGCAGGGAGUGGAAUAGCAGGUGGGAUGGAUCAAGUGCCCAGUGCUGGUUCCCCAUCUGAUGUUACCUCUCCCAGUGAUGUGGUGGCAGCACCUUCUGUGUCAGGGGGUGAUGAAGCAGGACCUGUCUCAUCUGCAGCCCCUGGCCCUGACAGUCUAUCCCCGGCCUCUCCGGAUGGUGAAACUGGCCCAGGGUUUGGUCUCGUGCAGGGGGCUGGGAGUGCAGGGGAUGUGGCACAGGCAGGAAACCCAGAGAGUGAAAAUCCCAACAUGGAGACAAAUCCUUCAGCUGUCAGCCCUGAACAAGACCUCACUAACACUGGAGAUCUGCCAGCAGAAGAAACAGGGGAUAUGGCAAAUGCUGAACUUUCCCCUCCAUCAGCACUUGGAGAUGGAACUGGAACAGGAACAGGAGGAGCCCCAGCACUGGGAGAAGUGUCCUCACCUGGUUCUGCACCUCACAGCAGUGCUGGAGUGCAGCCUGAUCUCUCAGGGCCUGAAGGACCAGGGGACCUGCCCAGUGAAUCAGCCAGUGCUCCUGGGGCUGUUUCCCCACCCCUGGGCUCAGUGGCUGGCCCCAUGUCUGAGGCAGAGACACCAGUGAGCCCUGACCUCAGUGCUGCCCAGGGAGCACCUGGAUCUCCAUCCUUUGGUGGGUCACAGCCAUGGGGAGCAGCAGCUGGUGCUCCCGUG
ensembl:lncRNA